ACCACACACCUCGUGCGAGCAGAGCAAAGUGGAGGAGGUGGUGCAGGAGGUGUUCGACGCCUACAAGACCAACCACCACGCGCGCAGGUCCCCGGGGCUGGAGCUGGCGGCGCUGCGACGCCCUGCCUGCCUGCAGAUUGGUGCUGCACGGGAGAAGCACUUCCACUACC